UAGUGAAUUAGACCAAUUAGAGCUUGUACAGUUAAAUUAUCUGUCUUAUUACCUUCUGAUAAACAGCCUUGUCAUAUCUUUACUCAGAUGAUGAAGCUUGGAAGUGUUUUAUGAGGAUUUACAUGGUUCUGGAAGUAUCAUCUGUAAACCUGAACAGAGAUGACUGAAGAUGGGUGAACUGAGUAAAGGGGGAAGUUCUGUUUUUGCCUUUGUGUGAGUUGGGGUCCAGCUGUCUGGAAAGCAGCUCUGCAGAGAAAGACACCAGGAUUCUGGUGGCGGCAAGCUGAAGGAGAAUGAAGAAGAAUCAGAAUGAAAAGACAAAGGACAAUGAUAAAAAGUUGCAUCGUGAGUCCUUACAAGGGGACUUAAGGAAAAAAUUCCUCACAAUGGGAAUGGUGGGCUUUCAACAAAGUCUGUGGGCUUUCAACAAAGCUUUCAAAAUUUGACUGGACUAUGCUCUAUUGAAUCUGGUCUAGCUUCUGAGUAAGUCUUGAUUUGGGCAGAUGGUUGGAGAUGAUAACCUACAGAUCUCCCAUCCAACAAAGAUUAUUUUAUGAUUCAUGGGUCUAUGAAUACUGGUUCCCUAGGAAGAUGAAUCUGAAUUGUACUUUCAAGAUUCCCACAACAGGAAAAAUGAAAUAAAAUUAGAAUAAUGUUUUCACAUUAAGACAGACUAGGACAGGACUGGUUGAUUCCAGCUCUUUGAGUAAGCCACUUAAAUGAUUGUAACCUUGGGUAAACAGUAGAGCAUCACUGAGCUUCAGUUCUCCUCCAGUAAAACAGAAUGAAUAAUAUUUCUUCACAAUUUUUUCUAAGAGUGAUUCACCCUUAUGCAUCAAAGGUUCUUUAACAGACUGAGCCAAAUGAGUUGCUGAUCAGAGAUGCUAUGGUACCACAACCAUUGUGCAUCUGGUCAAUGUACAUGUUAUUUCAUGAGCAUAACCAUCAAAUAUAUGGGGGAAAAAAAGAGCAAAUAAAUGAUUUCAGAGUCCUUCUUCCUGGAUAUAUAAA